rnacentral:rRNA from 1 species
CAGUAGCCGCGGUAAUACGAAGGUCCCAAGCGUUGUUCGGAAUCACUGGGCGUAAAGGGAGCGUAGGCGGCGUGGUAAGUCAGAUGUGAAAUCCCGGGGCUCAACCCCGGAACUGCAUCCGAUACUGCCAUGCUUGAGGGUUGGAGAGGUGACUGGAAUUCUCGGUGUAGCAGUGAAAUGCGUGGAUAUCGAGAGGAACACUCGUGGCGAAGGCGAGUCACUGGACAACAUCUGGCGCUGAGGCUCGAAGGCUAGGGUAGCGAAAGGGAUUAGAUACCCGCGUAGUCCCUGUCUCUUAUAC